GGGGGAGUGUCGGAAUUGGCAGACGAGCAAGACUUAGGAUCUUGUGCUGAAAGGCGUGGGGGUUCAACUCCCCCCUUCCCCACCA
rnacentral:tRNA from 1 species